CCUACGGGAGGCAGCAGUGGGGAAUUUUGGACAAUGGGGGCAACCCUGAUCCAGCCAUUCCGCGUGAGUGAAGAAGGCCUUCGGGUUGUAAAGCUCUUUCGGCAGGAACGAAACGGUGGGCUCUAACAUAGUCCGCUAAUGACGGUACCUGAAGAAGAAGCACCGGCUAACUACGUGCCAGCAGCCGCGGUAAU
rnacentral:rRNA from 1 species